ensembl:lncRNA
AGCGGAAAUGAGGAGAGGAGCUGGAGGAGACACGACAAUUGGAACGGCCCAUCUUGGAACCGUCUGCUCGCACCUGUAGCCGACAGCCAGCGUGACAGGUCUCUUCAAAGUCUAUGUUUACAGAAUAGCUCCUCGUGACUACAUGAAAGAAUGGAAGAGAUGAAAAUCCGCUUUGAAAGACACAAGCUGGGUAGCGUGCAUGCAGACAAGACUCUUGCUCAACUGCACAACAGUAACUGGAUGAAACCAACAAGCCAUGUAACCGUGCAGCUCUGUGAAGGACUCGCAGUGGUCACAGCAAAAGUGAGUCCAUGGAAAUCAGUUCUGGCAGACUGUCACCGUUGCGAGGUCACAGCCUGUUAAGAGUGUGGGAAGCACAAGCACUAGACUUCAAGAACGAAAACAACUGACAGCUGCAGAGAGUUAAAGCAUUGUCAGAAACAAAGACCCUGAGGGGAAAAUAAUGAACAGUUCAUUCAUCCUCAUAUUGUGAUACACAUGAAAGGAUAUUUGUUCUGCGAAAACUUCUUGUUUCGUAUGUUGCUUAUGCUGGAAGACAUCCAUGUUUUUAUUAUGAGUUUUUGGCAUUUGGACCAGAUCUGUUGAUUGUAACAUUCCACUUUUUGGACAAAUAUCCUUCACAGUAAAAGAAUCAUUGUCUCAUCUUCACAAAUAUAAUUACAUUCCAAAAUAUAAUGAAAGGUUCCAAACAGAUGUCUGGCAGGCAUCCAUUAACUCCAAUAAAUAAUAUUUAUCAGUAUCUGUUAAAGGGAGA